AACUCUUUCGUCCGUCCAAAGUCUCUCUCCUUCUCGAUUUUCCCUUCUACCGUACUUCUUUUUCUUUAUUUUCCCGUGAACUUGAUCUCCAUUUUUCCCUCGCGCAUUUUCUCUUAUACUAGGGUUUCAUGUUCUUACCUUUUCUUUCCUGUCGUGAUCUUCCAGGUAAUAGAAAAACACGAAAGUCAAGCCGAAAACCAGCACUGCAGGAGGAUAUUUCUUCUCCGUUUCUAUCAUUUACCCCCCCCUCAUCAAUCUCAAAUAUGUUCUAGAGCUUUCUAUGUUUCAUUUUAGUCUUAGUUCCUUGGUUUUGUGAUUGAUUUUCUUUUUCUUUUGGUUUCUUGAGAAAAAGAAAUCCUGAAAUUUUGAUUCUUCUUGGGCAGAACAAUCAUUCUGGUCUAUUCAAAGUACUUGAGAGGAUCUGGGCCUUGGUAGUCUGAAGCAAUUAUGCGAUUUUGUGGUCUCUUUGGUCUUUGCUUUGUUUGGUACGGGCCGUAUGGCUUGUGUCGUGCUUAAAUAUCAUUGAACUUUUGUGGAGUAGGAGAGGCAGAGAUAGAGGAGAAGAAAGAUGUGCAUGCUGGAGAUAAGAGAAGCAAUCACCAGGAUAGAACGUGAUAGAAGUGAACAACUUGUACUUGAGAAGAAGAAGUUCGAAGUUGAAAUUAUGCAAUUAAAUCUUGUUGGCAUGAAUACAAUGCAACAAGUUUAUUUCCAAACUCUUCAGAAUGAAAUUUACGAGGCUUCAAAGAAGUUUGCAACUACAACUACACCUAAUGAUCCAUCCACACCUUUUGGAGACGUGUAACUUUUCAUCCAGCCUAUAUCGACGUUGUAAUUAACAUUAGUAGAUGUUUAACGGACACUUUGUUUAUUUUAGUGGUUGCCCAACCACGUGAUGGAAAUAUAUGGCUUGGUUGCAACUAUGUGACCAUAUAUGGUUUAGACACUUUUAACUUUGUGAUUGGGCACUGUUUUUAUUUUUAGCGAUGAGCUGAUUUUUGGUGAUUGUGUUGAUUUUGUGAGGGCAGAAAUGUUACAAACAAAAUAUAACAUUUUGUAAUUGCCCCUAGUUCAGUCUGAUUUUGUGCUGAAAAUGUAAAACCAGAUGUGCUGAUUUUGUGAUUUUCCACAGUUCACUCUCUGUCAAUUGUCUUUGUUUUUAAUUUUUGGUGAUGGGUAGUGUUUUGAUUACCUGCUGUGGAUUGUAACAUUGCUGUGAAUUGUGGAAUUGUAACACUGAUCUGCCA